AACGAACGCUGGCGGCAUGCCUAACACAUGCAAGUCGAACGAGACCUUCGGGUCUAGUGGCGCACGGGUGCGUAACGCGUGGGAACCUGCCCUUAGGUUCGGAAUAACUCCCCGAAAGGGGUGCUAAUACAGGAUAAUGUCUUCUGACAAAAUAUUCAUCGUCCUUGGUUGGGCCCGAGUUGGCUUAGCUGGUUGGUAGGGUAAAAGCCUACCAAGGCGUCGUUCCAUAGCUGGUCUGAGAGGAUGAUCAGCCACACUGGGAGGGAGACGCGGCCCAGAAUCCUACGGGAGGCAGCAGUGGGGAAUAUUGGACUAUGGGCGAAGGCCUGAUCCAGCAAUGCCGCGUGAGUGAUGAAGGCCUUAGGGUUGUAAAGCUCUUUUACCCGGGAUGAUAAUGACAGUACCGGGAGAAUAAGCUCCGGCUAACUCCGUG
rnacentral:rRNA from 1 species